UAGAAAUGAGAGUAUGUGUGGCUCUGUGCCUAUUUUAUCAAAAUAGUCCUUGUGAUUUUUCGGGCACA
rnacentral:tRNA from 1 species